rnacentral:snoRNA from 1 species
GAGCACUUGAUACUAACCGAGCCAUCCGUACCCAGGUCUCACGCAGAGGUCUGAGGUACACCUUGUGAUUGCUGGGUCUGGAAAGUGCAACAUUAAAACAAGCCAUGAAGUGUUUAAGCUCAGUGUAUGAAGGAUUACACUGGGUUAUAACUCAGAGGCACAGAA